AGUGAACGCUGGCGGUAGGCCUAACACAUGCAAGUCGAACGGCAGCACAGUAAGAGCUUGCUCUUACGGGUGGCGAGUGGCGGACGGGUGAGGAAUACAUCGGAAUCUACUUUUUCGUGGGGGAUAACGUAGGGAAACUUACGCUAAUACCGCAUGCGACCUACGGGUGAAAGCAGGGGAUCUUCGGACCUUGCGCGAUUGAAUGAGCCGAUGUCGGAUUAGCUAGUUGGCGGGGUAAAGGCCCACCAAGGCGACGAUCCGUAGCUGGUCUGAGAGGAUGAUCAGCCACACUGGAACUGAGACACGGUUCAGACUCCUACGGGAGGCAGCAGUGGGGAAUAUUGGACAAUGGGCGCAAGCCUGAUCCAGCCAUACCGCGUGGGUGAAGAAGGCCUUCGGGUUGUAAAGCCCUUUUGUUGGGAAAGAAAAGCAGCAGGUUAAUACCCCGCUGUUCUGACGGUACCCAAAGAAUAAGCACCGGCUAACUUCGUG
rnacentral:rRNA from 1 species